rnacentral:sRNA from 1 species
GUCAGUCAGUCUGACGGUCAGUGAAUCGGUGGGUUUAUCUCAAGGCCUGAGUAGCCGGUAACAAACGAGGGUUCCCGGGAUUGGACCGACGCAGCCAUGCCACUGCGACUUGAUAUCAAAAGAAAGCUAACUGCUAGAUCUGAUCGAGUUAAGAGUGUGGAUCUGCAUCCUACAGAGCCAUGGAUGUUGGCAAGUCUUUACAAUGGCAGUGUGUGUGUUUGGAAUCAUGAAACACAGGUAGGAAUUUUUCAGGACUUUAUUAGAAAUAAAAUACUAUGUGAGACUGUGUUUAUAAUGAAAGAGAAGAAAUACUAUAACAGAAUCCAGAAUCUAUAUGCAAACUGCUUUCUCAAGUUGGUGCAAAGUAUUUUAAAUAUGAAGGAACUAACGUUUAUGAGGGGAUAGUUUGUAGGAGAAACUGUCCUGGGUAUGUUAAAUACAAUAUUUAAAUAUAACAACUCUGACUUAGGUAGUAUUAGCUCUUUUUUGAAAUUGAGAAAACUGAUGGUAUUAUAGAAUCACUUGCUAAAGUAUUUAAUCGUUAGUUUUCCAUUCAGUGAAUACUCUAUCUUAAGAAUGAUAUCGUUAAAUUUAUUUUUCUCCCAGAUGCCCAAUAUAAUGAUACACAGAUAAAUCUUUCACUCAGCCAUAUAGAUUAUAUCAGGGAAAUAUUUAUAGUCAGCUUUUGAUUAUACACACAUCUUACAGAUUGUCUGCCUGAAUGCUUGACUCAUUCUCUUUCACCUGAGUAAAUAACAUAUCCUUCAAAUUAGUUUGUCUCAUAUUUUCCAGUCUUCCUAGACUGUAUUUAAGAGUACAAAGCAUAUAGUUAGCACUAUACUAUACAGUUGUGUCUACUUAUAUAGUAAUUAUCCUUAACGUCCAAAGUUCUUGAAAUCCAGGUAAAAUUCGCAUUUGAGGAAUUUAAAAUGGCAAAAUGGCAUCAAGGAACCAAAGCCAGAAGUAAACCUAAAAACACCUUUAUACUUUUAUACUCACUGUAAUGAAACAGAAAUGACUGUACACUAAACUCAUACCCUGUAUUAGUCUGUUCUCACACUGCUGUAAAGAACUACCUGAGACUGGGUAAUUUAUGAAGGAAAGAGGUUUAAUUGACUCACAGUUCCACAGGCUUAACAGGAAGCAUGACUGGGAGGCCUCAGAAAACUUAAAAUUUUGGCAGCAGGUGAAGGGGAAGCAAGCACCUUCUUAACAUGAUGGCAGGAGAGAAAGAGCAAAGUGGGAAGUGCCACACACUUUUAAACCAUCAGAUCUCAUGAGAAGUCACUAUCACGAGAACGGCAAGGGGGAAAUCCACCCCCAUGAUCCAAUCACCUCCCACCAGGGCCCUCCUCCAAUUUGACAUGAGAUUUGGGUGGGGAUACAAAUCCAAACCAUAUCAUAGUCCAUCAGUGACAUUUUAUAUAAAUUAACAUUUUGUUUUCUGCUGUAUCUCAGUACCUAUAACAUUACCUGGCACAUAGUAAAUGCUCAAUAAUUAUUUGUUCAACGAAUGAAUAAUAUGCAUUUCACUUAUCACUAGUUCAGUAUUUGUGUUCUCUACAAUUUCAGAUCUUUAUCUUGUGAAUUGUUUUUGCUUUGAUGCAAAUAACUGUUUUUUUUUUCCUUUUUGUUUAGUUCUUGAGAUGUUUAAAAUAUUUCUGAUUUUAUGUUUAACAGAUAUGUUGGUGUCCUCUCUCUCUGAUUAUUCCUAGGGAUUCCCUCUUAUCAGCUACAUUUACCUAUCUCAGCUCUAUCACUUGAUCAUCGUAUGUUCUAAAGCCCAGGCGUACUUUUCUUAUCUUUCUCUAGGCUUUAUUAUAAUAUAUCUCUGCUUUAUCUGCAUUUCCACUUUGCCUCCUUUUUCUCUUCUAUACCUUUUUCUGCCCUAUGACAGGACCAUCUGCUUCCCCUUUCAUAAUUCAUCUCAGUGGUAAUUUCAUGUUUAAUUUCCUUCUUUCCUCUAAGAAUAGAGGUUCUGUGAGGACAAGGAUUACCCUCAUCUUAUUUCCCACUGUUGGUCCAGUGCAUGAGGCACUACCUGAUACACUGUCAGGCUCCUGGUAGAUAGUUAGUCUUUGUUGAAUGAUUAAUCUGUCUUUGAUUCUCCCUGUUUUUUCCCUGUGUUUAUAUCACCAACAGUAUUUACCACUCCUGUAUUGAGAGCAAAUUCUUGAGAGAGCCAAAAAGGUUUUUGGAAGUAAAAAGGUUUUUAGAUGUACUUGAAUUUCAAAUAAGGAGAUACUAUAUAUUCUUUGAGGUGGUACAUGCAGUGGUUUAAAAAACAUAGUAUUUUAGGAUUUGAAGCCAACUUGCUGAUUAAAUUAUAUAGGCAAGCCUUUUAACCAUGCUGAGCCUCUUUAUUUAUCUGAAGUGAAGAUGAUAUUAUUGCCUUGCCUACAUCACAGGAUUGUCAAAAAGAUAAAAUAAAAUUAGAUAAAAUUGUGUAUGAAACCUAUAAAGUACCAUAUAAGUAUUAGUCAUUAGUUAUACUUUCCUAGUCUACAUUGAGUAUUUGUAUGUAUUGUGUGUGUAGCUUUUCUUACUCUUUAUUUGCAUCAGUCAUAGCCCCUAACAUGGCGUUGAACCUUGGCUAUUUCUUCUGCAGCUGCUUUAUUUUUACUGCUCAGCAGAUCCCUGGAUUUGUUGGCUCCUCAUGAGCUUUUGUGGAUUUUUCUGCCGUGUUAUAGAUCGCAUGUUCUGUCUACUCUCAGUGUCUGUAUCAUAGUCAGCUGGUAGUGAUUCUACAGGUUGGAGUUGAAGUGCCUACUCAUUCAGCCUUUGUCUAAAGAAUCUUUGAACUCUGGCUUGAAAAGUCAGAGUAGGACAGUUCUUAUGAACCGGUCCCUAUUACUUUUUUAGUGCACACGGUUAAUCAAUCAGUAAGAUUAUAUUAUGUUUCUUAGUUAUUUCAUUUUUGUCUCUGAUACAAAAAAGGAUUGGAAAAUGAUAGUUUGACUUUCAGACUUUUAAGAACAGGCAUCAAAGAAGGAGAACAAAGAGGUACCAUGAUCUCUGCUCUUUCUAGGAGGGUCUCUACCUUUAUCCUAUGUGUAUAAUUCCAUUCUGAGCAGCUCGGAGGAACAUAUAAGUCACGGUGUUUUCAUAUUUUAUUAAAAAGAAAUAAUAACAUUUGUAUGGAAUCAUAUUGCUAAAGCAUGCAAAAGAAUUGUACCUUAUUCAUGAGUCACUUUUAUGGGUUUCAAUUUCAAAAAGACUGACUAGGUGCAGUGGCUCACGCCUGUAAUCCCAGCACUUGGGAGGCUGAGACGGGUGGAUCACUUGAGGCCAGGAGUUCGAGACCACCUUGGCCAACAUGGUGAAACCCCGUCUGUACAAAAAAUACAAGAAUUUGCUUGGCAUGGUGGUGCACACCUGUAAUCCCAGCUACUUGGGUAACUGAAGCAUGAGAAUCACUUGAACCUGGGAGGCGGAGGUCGCAGUGAGCCAAGAUUGUGCCACUGUACUGCACUUCAGCCUGGGUGACAGAGUAAGACUGUCUCAAAAAAAAAAAAAAAA